ACUCUGAUGCAGCGAUGCCGCGUGAGUGAAGAAGGCCUUUGGGUUGUAAAGCUCUUUCGUCGGGGAAGAAAAUGACUGUACCCGAAUAAGAAGGUCCGGCUAACUUCGUGCCAGCAGCCGCGGUAAUACGAAGGGACCUAGCGUAGUUCGGAAUUACUGGGCUUAAAGAGUUCGUAGGUGGUUGAAAAAGUUGGUGGUGAAAUCCCAGAGCUUAACUCUGGAACUGCCAUCAAAACUUUUCAGCUAGAGUGUGAUAGAGGAAAGCAGAAUUUCUAGUGUAGAGGUGAAAUUCGUAGAUAUUAGAAAGAAUACCAAUUGCGAAGGCAGCUUUCUGGAUCAUUACUGACACUGAGGAACGAAAGCAUGGGUAGCGAAGAGGAUUAGAUACCCUCGUAGUCCAUGCCGUAAACGAUGUGUGUUAGACGUUGGAGAUUUAUUUUCAGUGUCGCAGCGAAAGCGAUAAACACACCGCCUGGGGAGUACGACCGCAAGGUUAAAACUCAAAUGAAUUGACGGGGACCCGCACAAGUAGUGGAGCAUGUGGUUUAAUUCGAAGAUACGCGCAGAACCUUACCAACACUUGACAUGUUCGUCGCGACUUUAAGAGAUUAAAGUUUUCGGUUCGGCCGGACGAAACACAGGUGCUGCAUGGCUGUCGUCAGCUCGUGUCGUGAGAUGUUGGGUUAAGUCCCGCAACGAGCGCAACCCUCACUUUUAGUUGCCAUCAUUAAGUUGGGCACUCUGAAAGAACUGCCAGUGAUAAGCUGGAGGAAGGUGGGGAUGACGUCAAGUCCUCAUGGCCCUUACGUGUUGGGCUACAACACGUGCUACAAUGGUAUCUACAACAGGAAGCAAGACUGCGAAGUUAAGCAAAUCCUUAAAAGAUACCUCAGUUCGGAUUGCACUCUGCAACUCGAGUGCAUGAAGCUGGAAUUACUAGUAAUCGUGGAUCAGCGUGCCACGGUGAAUGCGUUCCCGGGUCUUGUACACACCGCCCCGUCACACCAUGGGAGUUGGUUCUACCUUAAGGCAAGGUUUAAAACCCUUGACCACGGUAUAGUCAGCGACUGGGGUGAAGUCGUAACAAGGUAGCCGUAGGGGAACCUGCGGCUG
rnacentral:rRNA from 1 species